CAGAGGGCUGAGAUAAAUAAGAGAACUAGAAGGUCCUUUGGGUGAUGCCAAAGAAAACCUGAUAUAAAUUCAUUUCCUUUCACAAAUGUGAUUUUCAUAAUGAUGAGAGUAAUAAGAGAAGUGGGUAAGAAGAUGUCGCAUUUUGAAAAAAAUGACUCCAUCAUUCAGUUGACUUUACAGCCCAGGACUAAGCCAGCAAUGACCAAAUAUCAUCACUUUCAAAUGUUUGAGCCUAUAUGUUACAUUACACCUACUUUAUGUGUUCAAAUAUCUUCAAUUUAAUUGUACCACAGCUCUCAGGUGGUCUUAUUGCUGCUUCCAUGGAUAGAUG
rnacentral:lncRNA from 1 species